rnacentral:rRNA from 1 species
UACAGAGGGUGCGAGCGUUGUCCGGAAUUACUGGGCGUAAAGCGCGCGUAGGCGGCUGUGUAAGUUAGAGGUGAAAGCCCGGAGCUCAACUCCGGAAUUGCCUUUAAGACUGCAUCGCUAGAAUCAUGGAGAGGUGAGUGGAAUUCCGAGUGUAGAGGUGAAAUUCGUAGAUAUUCGGAAGAACACCAGUGGCGAAGGCGGCUCACUGGACUGGUAUUGACGCUGAGGUGCGAAAGCGUGGGGAGCAAACAGG